GACGAACGCUGGCGGCGUGCUUAACACAUGCAAGUCGAGCGGUAAGGCCCUUUCGGGGGUACACGAGCGGCGAACGGGUGAGUAACACGUGGGUGACCUGCCCUCAGCUCUGGGAUAAGCCUGGGAAACUGGGUCUAAUACUGGAUAUGACUCCACGGUGCAUGUCGUGGGGUGGAAAGCCUUGUGCGGCUGAGGAUGGGCCCGCGGCCUAUCAGCUUGUUGGUGGGGUGAGGCCUACCAAGGCGACGACGGGUAGCCGGCCUGAGAGGGCGACCGGCCACACUGGGACUGAGACACGGCCCAGACUCCUACGGGAGGCAGCAGUGGGGAAUCUUGCGCAAUGGGGCGAAAGCCUGACGCAGCGACGCCGCGUGAGGGAUGACGGCCU
rnacentral:rRNA from 1 species